GAAGCAGUUUCCCACCCUGUGAGCUUGGAAAGGUUGAAAAAACUACUCUUAAGAGGCCAGCAACUGGAGUCCAUGAAAGAAGCUGCCAGACGCCACAGCAGCUUAGUAUGGUGGUAGAUGCAUCCUCGGAGAAGUUCUUUGAGCCACAAAAUCCUGGAGGUUGUGGCCACUUGUAGGAGUGGGGAGCUCUGAGGAUUUGGCUGUGCUGACUCGGUAUUACAAGUGCAGGACAGGCAGUUGGGAAGCCGCCUCCUCUGAGGGGUCUUUCUCGAUUGGCAGCAGCAUCGCAGCACGUGAGCAGCCUCAACAUUCCAGGCGCAGGGAAUUAUCCUACCACAGCGGUAUACCACAGCAGGUGUCCCUCCCCCUAACUUUGCCCCUCCCCGGAACUUGA
rnacentral:lncRNA from 1 species